GCAUGGCUGAGAGCCUAAAAACUUCCCCUUUUGCAUUCGACACGUUGAUGCAGAUUGACAGAGGUGGAUUUUGGGGGUGCCCGUCCAUGUGCUCAGUGGUGGUCCGGGGGAGACUGCGAGAGAGGAGUUGGACGUGGGGCUGCGUUGGUGCAGGUGAGCGCGAGCAGAAAGGAGGGAGAGAAGAGGGAAAAGCGGAGAGGCUGACAUGUGGGACCAAUUU
rnacentral:lncRNA from 1 species